UUAUACUUAUCAAAUUAAAUAGCUCUGGUCUCCAGUAUAUUGGCGAAUUUGGUUAUUUGUACUUAAUUUAUUAGCAUGAUUUCUUUUUAAUAUGUUGUGUACAGACUUAAUUACUUCUCUGUCUACUUUUCUUACUCCAUGUAGGUUUCCCAGAGACUAUGGGUUGAGGAGGAAUUGGAAGUUUGUCGGCUUAGACCUGGUGUCAUUCCAUCAGUGUUAAACUUCCCGGCUCAUCUUUGAAGAGUACGUGCCAGAAAGACCACGACCAAGCAGCCUUGAGAUCUUAGGCAGCGUCUCCCUGAGACCAAAGAACUACAGACUCUUCACAACCUGCUCAAACUCUUGGUACAGGACCUCACCACACGGGUCAAGAAGGUUUCUGUCUCAUUUCUACUCUGAAGCUCACCUUCUCCUGCUCUAACUGCUGACAAAUGUUUCUGCUGCUCUAAAGUCUGGUCUCCAGAACUUCCUAAAAACUCUCAAAGGCUCUUCUGCUGCAGGUUGCUUUGUAGAACUGUUCCAGAAAACCUCACUAAACCACAUGGAGGAGCCUCAAGAUAGUCGUCCAAAUGAAACCAUACAAAAACCAAACUAGCACAACCCAAACACUAAAGUCUCCUGCAGCCUACCAGAGAACCUCUGAGAACAGAGAAUCAGGACAGGAACUCUUACCUUCUGGACAACCAACGCUGGUUCACAAACAAGAAUACAGAAUGUGUCUGACCAGAAACCUCUGAAGACUCACUACAGCCAAGAUAAAGACACAACUCAGCUGCAUCAAAUCCACUAAUCACUGCACACAUCAGCACCAUGUGCUAACUGUGGCUAAAGAACCACAUUUACCAAGAGAACUAUCCAGUACAAAGCCCUAAAACACACCAAGAAACACAUUAAAGACGAUUUUACUGCUGGAAGCUGCAAGCCAACGCCUAAAAAACAAACUAAAGCAAUGGAGCCAAACCCAGUUCAGUGGUGAAGAGAAACAGAGGAAAUGUUUGUCUGCAGCUAAAUAAAGCAGGAAGACACUGAGCUGCUCAGGUGUUCCUGAUAACACCAAGCAGCCACCUGGACAGCCAAUAGGAACACAGCUUCCUGGAAGUCCAGAGGGCGGGGUUAGUGAAGGAAAUUUAGUUUAAAGUUGAAGCAGAAAGUUAACAAAGAAAGUUGAAAACCACCUUCUGAUACCUGAAAUCUCUGAGUUUUCACACAAAGAACACCUGAACAUGUCAAACUGGUUCCAUAGUAGAACCAUCAUUGUAAAAACAUCAUAGUAUGGUGUGUUGCUCAAAAAACAUUAGGACCUGGCUGUCUAGGGUCACUGAGGAGCAACACAAAAACAGGACAAACACUGGUUUCCAGGGGGUUAGGAGGGUAUUUAUUUGAAAGAGGAAGUUUACAACAACACAACAUGUGAGCAGAAAAAUCACAAAGUCUGUCUUUAGUUCAGCUGAAAAUAUUAGUUUUUGUCUUUUUUAUUGACCAAACUUUUCAGGAAGUAGAUGAAGAAUAAUUAAAGCUCUCAUGUAGAAGUCCAACUUAUUUUGGAGCUUUGUGGAGAGUUUAAUCUUAGAGUUUGUAAAGCCGUUGAGUUUUUAGAGUCACAUGGAUUGUUUUGACAUUUAAUAACCGAGUCCUGAAAUAAAAUUACAGUUGUAGAUUUCUGUCAUUUAGUCUGGACUAAACAAAUAACAGCAGCAUAAAUGUCAAACGUCAUUAUGAGGAGUCUGGAUUGAGGUUUCUCACUUGAUAAUGAUCAAAACAUGAAAUUUAGGUUGAUUUAAAGGAAUAUUCCACCUUAAAUCUUUGAAUGUUGACCUAAAAGGUUGGUUUCAGGAAGUAUUCCACCAGGUCCUCACACAUCCACCUUAAAGGAACAUUCCACCAAAAAUCCUUGGACAUGCACCUAAAAUGUUGGUUUAACCGAGUUUUCCAUCCAAAAUCCUCAAAGAGACCUGAGGGGCUGGUUAAAAGGAAUAUUUCACCUAAAACCUCCAAUAUAGACCCCAAAGGGUGGUUUAGAAAAAAUCCUUCAGUGUAGAUCAAAAAGGUUUAUCUGAUGGUAUAUUCUACCCAACAUCCUGGAACAUUUACCUAAAAGGUUCGUUUAAUGGUAUAUUCCCAGAAGAACCCUUGAACAUUGGGCUUAAUGGUAUAUUCCACCCAAAAUACUUGUACAUACAGACCUGAUCAAAAUCUUAAGACCAGUUGAAAAAUAGCUAGAAUUUACCUUUUGCACAUUUGGAUCUUAAUGAGGUUUUAAGUAGAGCUACAAUAUGCAAAAGCAAGAAGGGGGAGUGAGACAAAAAGCACUUUGAAAAAGUAAUUUAUUGAAAACAACAAGUAAACUGAAAUAGGCUGUUUAUCAGCUGAUCAAAAGUUUAAGACCACAGGCUAUAAAAGCCCAAAUCUGCUCAAAAUUCUCAUCUUCUGUCAUGGUCAUGGCCUCCUGAUGGCUAAAGCUAAGAAGCUUUCUCUUCUUGAACGUGGUCGGAUUGUCGAGCUGCAUAAGCAAGGCCUCUCGCAGCGUGUCGUUGCUGCUGAGGUGGGACGCAGUAAGACAGUCAUUCUAAAUUUUUUGAAAGAUCCUGAGCAUUAUGGAACAAAAAAGUCAAGUGGUAGACCCAAAAAAAUUACACCUGCGCUGAGCCGGAGGAUCCGAUUGGCUGUCCGUCAAGACACAGGGUGGUCCUCGACCCAAAUUAAGGCCCUUACUGGUGCCGACUGCAGCGCAAUAACCAUCAGACGGCAUCUACGGGAAAAGGGUUUCAAAAACAAAAAACGAAUUCAAAGACCUCGUCUCCUACAACGCCACAAAACUGCCUGUUUAGACUUUGCCAGGGAGCAUCAAACAUGGGACAUUGAAAGGUGGAAAAAAGUUUUAUUCUCUGAUGAGAAAAAAUGUAACCUUGAUGGUCCAGAUGGCUUCCAACAUUACUGGCAUGACAAGGAGAUCCCACCUGAGAUGUUUUCUACCUGGCACAGUGGAGGGGGGUCCAUCAUGAUCUGGGUGCUUUUUCAUUCAGUGGAACACUGGAGCUUCAGGUGGUGCAGGUCGUCAAACGGCGGCUGGUUACGUGCAGAUGUUGCAGCAGGCAUCCCUCAUGACUGAGGGCCCUCGUCUGUGUGGUAACAGCUGGGUUUUUCAACAGGACAACGCUGCAGUUCACAAUGCUCGCUUGACCAAGGACUUCUUCAGGGAGAAUAACAUCACUCUUUUGGACCAUCCUGCAUGUUCCCCUGAUUUAAAUCCCAUAGAGAACAUUUGGGGAUGGAUGGCAAGGGAAGUUUAUAAAAAUGGCCAUCAGUUCCAGACAGUUGAUGCCCUUCAUGAAGCCAUCUUCACCACUUGGAGCAACGUUCCCACCAGCCUCCUGGAAACACUCGCAUCAAGCAUGCCCAAACGAAUUUUUGAAGUGAUUAACAAGAACGGUGGAGCUACUCAUUACUGAGUCCUACUGAGAACAUUUUUUGUUCUGGUUUGGAGAGUUUUUUGUAAUUUUUUGAGCGAUGGUCUUAAACUUUUGAUCAGCUGAUAAACAGCCUAUUUCAGUUUACUUGUUGUUUUCAAUAAAUUACUUUUUCAAAGUG